rnacentral:rRNA from 1 species
CCUACGGGAGGCUGCAGUGAGGAAUAUUGGUCAAUGGGCGCGAGCCUGAACCAGCCAAGUAGCGUGAAGGAUGACUGCCCUACGGGUUGUAAACUUCUUUUAUAAAGGAAUAAAGUGAGGCACGUGUGCCUUUUUGUAUGUACUUUAUGAAUAAGGAUCGGCUAACUCCGUGCCAGCAGCCGCGGUAAUACGGAGGAUCCGAGCGUUAUCCGGAUUUAUUGGGUUUAAAGGGAGCGUAGGUGGAUUAUUAAGUCAGUUGUGAAAGUUUGCGGCUCAACCGUAAAAUUUCAGUUGAAACUGGCAGUCUUGAGUACAGUAGAGGUGGGCGGAAUUCGGGGGGGAGCCGUGAAA